UCAUUGUUGGGUAUGGGUCAGAACUGGGAACAGGUCACGUUGUCACUGUUGGGUAUGCGUCAGAACUGGGAACAGGUCACGUUGUCACUGUUGGGUAUGCGUCAGAACUGGGAACAGGUCACGUUGUCACUGUUGGGUAUGCGUCAGAACUGGGAACAGGUCACGUUGUCACUGUUGGGUAUGCGUCAGAACUGGGAACAGGUCACGUUGUCACUGUUGGGUAUGCGUCAGAACUGGGAACAGGUCACGUUGUCACUGUUGGGUAUGGGUCAGAACUGGGAACAGAUCACGUUCUCGCUCAUGCGUGUGGGUCGGAACUGGAUACAGAUCACGUUCUCACUGUUGGCU